ensembl:snRNA U1 U1 spliceosomal RNA
AUAUUCACCUGGCAGGGGAAAUACAAUGAUCUUGAAAAGGGCUUUCCCAGAGCAAGGCUUAUCCAUUACACUGUGGAUGUGCUGACCCCUGCUGUUCCCCCUAAAUGUGUGAAAUUACAUAAUUUGUGGUAGUGGGGCACGGGGCUCAUGCUCUCCCCUG